rnacentral:rRNA from 1 species
GGUUAUAAGAUCCCUCAAAGAUGAUGAGGUAAAUAGGUUCGAGGUGGAAGCGUAGCGAUACGUGGAGCUGACGAAUACUAAUCGAUCGAAGACUUAAUCAA